rnacentral:rRNA from 1 species
CAGUUGGAAACGACUGCUAAGACUGGAUAGGAAGUUUUAAGGCAUCUUGAAACUUUUAAAAGACCCGCAAGGGUAUGCUGAGAGAUGGGCUUGCGGCACAUUAGUUAGUUGGUAAGGUAACGGCUUACCAAGACCAUGAUGUGUAGCUGGACUGAGAGGUUGAACGGCCACAUUGGGACUGAGAUACGGCCCAAACUCCUACGGGAGGCAGCAGUAAGGAAUUUUCGGCAAUGGAGGAAACUCUGACCGAGCAACGCCGCGUGAACGAUGAAGUAUUUAGGUAUGUAAAGUUCUUUUAUUAAAGAAGAAAAAAUGAUGGAAAAAUCAUUCUGACGGUAUUUAAUGAAUAAGCCCCGGCUAACUAUGUGCCAGCAGCUGCGGUAAUACAUGGGGGGCAAGCGUUAUCCGGAUUUAUUGGGCGUAAAGGGUGCGUAGGCGGUUUAAUAAGUCUAUGGUCUAAGUUCAACGCUUAACGUUGUGAUGCUAUAGAAACUGUUUGACUAGAGUUGGAUAGAGGCAAGUGGAAUUCCAUGUGUAGCGGUAAAAUGCGUAAAGAUAUGGAGGAACACCAGUAGCGAAGGCGGCUUGCUGGGUCUUAACUGACGCUGAGGCACGAAAGCGUGGGGAGCAAACAGGAUUAGAUACCCUGGUAGUCCACGCCGUAAACGAUGAGUACUAAGUGUUGGGUUAAACCAGUGCUGAAGUUAACGCAUUAAGUACUCCGCCUGAGUAGUACGUACGCAAGUAUGAAACUUAAAGGAAUUGACGGGACUCCGCACAAGCGGUGGAUCAUGUUGUUUAAUUCGAAGAUACACGAAAAACCUUACCAGGUCUUGACAUACUCUGCAAAGCUAUAGAAAUAUAGUGGAGGUUAUCAGGGAUACAGGUGGUGCAUGGUUGUCGUCAGCUCGUGUCGUGAGAUGUUGGGUUAAGUCCCGCAACGAGCGCAACCCUUAUCGCUAGUUACCAUCAUUUAGUUGGGCACUUUAGUGAGACUGCCAAUGAUAAAUUGGAGGAAGGUGGGGAUUACGUCAAAUCAUCAUGCCCCUUAUGACCUGGGCUACAAACGUGAUACAAUGGCUGUUACAAAGAGUAGCUGAAGCGUGAGUUUUUAGCAAAUCUCAAAAAAACAGUCUCAGUUCGGAUUGAAGUCUGCAACUCGACUUCAUGAAGUCGGAAUCGCUAGUAAUCGCGAAUCAGCAUGUCGUGGUGAAUACGUUCUCGGGGUUUGUACACACCGCCCGUCAAACCAUGAAAGUUGACAAUACCCGAAACCAGUAGCCUAACUUGCAAAAGAGGGAACUGUCUAAGGUAGGGUUGAUGAUUGGGGUUAAGUCGUAACAAGGUAUCCCUACCGGAAGGUGGGGAUGGAUCACCUCCUUUCUAAGGAAA